rnacentral:tRNA from 1 species
UCUCUGGUGGCUCAGAUGGUAAAGCGUCUGCCUGCAAUGCAGGAGACCCGGGUUCGAUCCCUGGGUUGGGAA